GUCGAGGGGCAGCAUAUGGAUUGCUUGCAAUCCAUGAUGGCGACCGGCGCACGGGUGCGUAACGCGUAUGUAACUUGCCUUAUGCAGGAGGAUAACCCGAAGAAAUUCGGCCUAAUACUCCAUAAGUGUCAGAGAGGCAUCUUUCGGGCAUGAAAGAUUUAUCGGCAUAAGAUAGACAUGCGUGACAUUAGCUAGUCGGUGAGGUAACGGCUCACCGAGGCGACGAUGUCUAGGGGUUCUGAGAGGAAGGUCCCCCACACUGGUACUGAGACACGGACCAGACUCCUACGGGGGGCAGCAGUGAGGAAUAUUGGUCAAUGGACGGAAGUCUGAACCAGCCAUGCCGCGUGCAGGAUGACGGCUCUAUGAGUUGUAAACUGCUUUUGUACGAGAAUAAUAGUUCUUACGUGUAGGGAUUUGAAUGUAUCGUACGAAUAAGGAUCGGCUAACUCCGUGCCAGCAGCCGCGGUAAUACGGAGGAUUCGAGCGUUAUCCGGAUUUAUUGGGUUUAAAGGGUGCGUAGGCUGUCGGAUAAGUUAGAGGUCAAAUGUCGGGGCUUAACCCCGUGCCUGCCUCUGAUACUGUUCGACUGGAGAGCGGAUGCAGCAGGCGGAAUGAGUAGUGUAGCGGUGAAAUGCUUAGAUAUUACUCAGAACACCGAUUGCGCAGGCAGCUUGCUAAUCCGCAUCUGACGCUGAUGCACGAAAGCGUGGGUAGCGAACAGGAUUAGAUACCCUGGUAGUCCACGCAGUAAACGAUGAUAACUCGUUGUCGGCGAUAUACAGUCGGUGACCCAGCGAAAGCGAUAAGU
rnacentral:rRNA from 1 species